rnacentral:rRNA from 1 species
GACGAACGCUGGCGGCGUGCUUAACACAUGCAAGUCGAGCGGUAAGGCCCUUUCGGGGGUACACGAGCGGCGAACGGGUGAGUAACACGUGGGUGACCUGCCCUCAGCUCUGGGAUAAGCCUGGGAAACCGGGUCUAAUACCGGAUAUGACUCCAUGACGCAUGUUGUGGGGUGGAAAGCCUUGUGCGGCUGAGGAUGGGCCCGCGGCCUAUCAGCUUGUUGGUGGGGUGAUGGCCUACCAAGGCGACGACGGGUAGCCGGCCUGAGAGGGCGACCGGCCACACUGGGACUGAGACACGGCCCAGACUCCUACGGGAGGCAGC